UCGGAACUGAGAGGCAGGAGG
rnacentral:misc_RNA from 1 species